UACGAAGGGGGCUAGCGUUGUUCGGAAUUACUGGGCGUAAAGCGCACGUAGGCGGGCGAUUAAGUCAGGGGUGAAAUCCCGGAGCUCAACUCCGGAACUGCCUUUGAUACUGGUCGUCUAGAGAUCGGAAGAGGUGAGUGGAACUGCGAGUGUAGAGGUGAAAUUCGUAGAUAUUCGCAAGAACACCAGUGGCGAAGGCGGCUCACUGGCCCGAUACUGACGCUGAGGCACGAAAGCGUGGGGAGCAAACAGG
rnacentral:rRNA from 1 species